CGGUUGCUGCCCGGUUCGUCAGGUCGUCAUUACUCCCAGGGGCUAUACCCAUCCUUAGGGAACUGUCCCUGCCGGGGUCUUGGUCCCGGCACACGGUGCCCACCUCGUGAGAGAGGCCCAGGUGGAGAAUACAAAGACCGACGGCCAAGGCGGCUCCGUC
rnacentral:other from 1 species